CAGAGGGUGCGAGCGUUGUCCGGAAUCACUGGGCGUAAAGGGCGCGUAGGUGGCGACCCAAGUCGAUGGUGAAAGCUCGCCGCUCAACGGCGAGUCGGCCACCGAUACUGGGUUGCUCGAGCACUGUAGAGGCUAAUGGAAUUCCGGGUGUAGCGGUGGAAUGCGUAGAGAUCCGGAAGAACACCGGUGGCGAAGGCGGUUCGCUGGGCAGUUGCUGACACUGAGGCGCGACAGCGUGGGGAGCAAACAGGAUUAGAUACCCUGGUAGUCCACGCCGUAAACGAUGGGCACUAGAUGCUUGGGGGAGCGACCCCCUGAGUGUCGUCGCUAACGCAUUAAGUGCCCCGCCUGGGGAGUACGGCCGCAAGGCUG
rnacentral:rRNA from 1 species